ensembl:snoRNA SNORD86 small nucleolar RNA, C/D box 86
GAUCACAGUGAUGGCCAACUAGGGCGCCCUGACCCCUGCAGGCCUCUGCAGUGGGAGUGAUGGCCGGUCCUGGUGUCUGAGUGAUU